GAGAUUAUCAAAAUUAAUGCAUUCUCGAAGAAGAAAAUUUAUACAUAAUGUAGGUUUUAAAUAUAUUUAGCGUAACGCAAUAUUUUAAAUCUAUGGAGAAACUUUUCUAUAGAAGUAUCAAAUUUGAUCCAUUAAGAUGUUUCUUAUCUAAGGCUUUACGAAUAUCAAAUAUCGAGACAAUAAAAGUUACGUUUCCUGUGCAUCCAAGCCAUCUUUCUUGUCCACAUGACUCCGGGGUUCGCAACCUGAACCCUGAGGUCGUGUACGUCUGGCAGUAUUUUCACACCUGCUUGUUACCAGGUGUGCAGCUAGAUGUAAUAAUCACUCUCAUCAAAGUAAUUCUAGAAUCAAAUAACUAGGUAUCCCAUGAAACAACUUAGAUACUAAAAAAACAAGCCGUAUUUCAUAAUUACUUCGGAAGAGAGCGAGAAAUAACGAAACAGUUUUUUGAACUCUUACAUACAAUAAUGUUCCCCACAGCGUAAUUUUUUUUUUUUCAGUAAACGAAAUUCAUAUCUAAAAAGUAGUCUAAAAAUAUUCUAUUCUUUUUUUUUUAAUUUGACCUCCCAGAAUAUACUUAAAACAUUCCUUCUACACUUAGAAAUCUUUCAUUUGACCUGUUCCAGCAGACUUCAGCAGGAACUCUUUUUUAAUCGAGUGAACAAAGUUUAACUUUUAAAUUAAUAAAAUAAUUUAAAAUACUCGGAAAUAAUUUAUUGGCUUUAAUUACAUUUUCUAAUUUUCUCUAACGAUAAGCUUAUUAUAUUUAGGUCUGAGACUCUCUCCUUACCUCCUACAGCUCUUUAAUUAGGUCUAUUUACGUUUUCUAGGAACGUUUCCAUAAACAAAGAACUCAACAAAAUACCUUUAGGGAACGAUCUACUGUACUACAUCAUGGUCAUUAUUACGUUUUUUUUCUGUAAAUAGUUAGAAUAUAAGCAGUGUGUUUUCAGUAAGUUAAAAAGUAAACUAACGUAUAACUUAUUAUUAUUUUAAUAUUUAUGAAAAUAUACUUCUAAAAAAAAGAAAGUUUUACUUUUCAAGAAACAUC
rnacentral:lncRNA from 1 species